rnacentral:rRNA from 1 species
CGAAUGCUGACGUGAGUAACGACAAAACGGGUGAAAAACCCGUUCGCCGAAAGACCAAGGGUUCCAGUCCAACGUUAAUCGGGGCUGGGUGAGUCGACCCCUAAGGCGAGGCCGAAAGGCGUAGUCGAUGGGAAAAUGGUUAAUAUUCCAUUACUUCUGUGUAAUGCGAUGAGAGGACGGAGAAGGCUAAAUCAGCCUGGCGUUGGUUGUCCAGGUGAAAGGAUGUAGGCAUGUAUCUUAGGCAAAUCCGGGGUACUCUAUGCUGAGAUCU